UGGCAAAGCAGCAGAAAGAGUCUGAAUCCACCCAGAAGGCAGAGAAGGAAGUGACGCGCAUGGUGGUGGUGAUGGUCCUGGCAUUCUGCUUCUGCUGGGGACCAUACGCCUUCUUCGCAUGCUUUGCUGCUGCCAACCCUGGCUACCCCUUCCACCCUUUGAUGGCUGCCCUGCCGGCCUUCUUUGCCAAAAGUGCCACUAUCUACAACCCCGUUAUCUAUGUCUUUAUGAACCGGCAG
rnacentral:lncRNA from 1 species